rnacentral:lncRNA from 1 species
GGCUUCCGGUCUCAGGGCCCGCCCUGCUGAGUAGGGCGCCCGCGAGUGUGCCUGUCCCGUGGUGGUUGUGAGGUCGGAGACGGGGUUGCGCGGAAGGAAAGCGGGACGCGAGGGAUGGGUGUGGCUCCGGGCCGGAGCUCGCGGAGAGCGGCGGGGCCCACAGGAGGAGAGCCAUCUUCCGUGAACAUUCUCACAGACUUCUCAUUGUGUGCCCUCAUCCCCUGCUGGGAGGCACAACCAGCAUCACCACCCGCUUGUCUACACAGAAGCAUUGAGCUGCAGAGAGCUUAACCUGGCCCACGAUGACUGAAGACAGAGGAGGACCAGACUACAGUCACAUGCCACCCUCCAGGCAGCUGCUGGAUCAUCGUCCUGCCUUAUUGACUCGAAGAGCUUGUCACAGAUAAACAGGUCACCUCUGGAUCAGGUCUGCUUUAAACAAUAGCUUUCAUCAGCCCCCUCCUAAGCCUGAGAGACAUGGCCUGGCCACCUCUGGUUUUGCUCUGACCCAUCGGAUUGAAGCUGAGCAGACGUCGAGGUUUGACAGAUCCUACUUCGGGGGCUGCAGUGAGCUCAGAAAAGCAUGCAUCCUCUCUCCAACCUAGGACCACCAGGUUUCAAAAUGGCGUUUUCAGUGACUUUUGCUGCAGAGCUUCAGAGCUAAACUAGCAGUUCCAGGGUGCGCUAACACCCCUACUUCUGGAGCAACCCCCUUUCAACAUCCACAGAGACAGCUUGUGACCCCCCUCCCCAAAACCCAACCCCAAAUAAGGCAACCACAAGCCCUGGUUGAGAAGGAGGAGUCUUCUUUCUCCCUUGCCCCAUGCCCAGCUGCCCCUCCAGGAGACAAGCUCCAGUAAUGGCCAUAAUCUUGCAGCUUUGAAGGAUGUACCCAGGACCCCUAAGGCAUGAGGCCCAAAAGAAGCCCUCUGAGGAGAGGGCCAGACAGCAGCCAUCCCUCAGAGGCCUCCUUCUCGAUGCAGGCCAUGGGGCCAACAUGUCCCAACACUGCCAGGCUUCCUUGCACAAGUCAGACCUCACAGAGUGAGGGGGACAUACGAGGAGGGCGACACGAAGCUCGACAGGAGGAUUGGGACUCAUCCAUCAUGAACCGUCAAACAGCAGGGCCAUAGCCUGCCUGAACGCUUGCCUAGUUAAAGGAACUUCUGCGGCUCACCUACCCCCAGCACCUCAGCCUCCCAGAAUCAAGCACAUUCCACUAAGGGGGGAUUAGAGGGUCAGCAACCCAGACUGGCCCCCAGCCUGCUCUCCCACAGUGCUAGGACUGAACAUCCUAUACCCCCACCCUUAAAUGGAGCUGUAGUUAAGAAGCCCAAGGCAAAAUAGAAAUUGAUGGGGCCUUUCUGUCUGUUCCCUGUUUUAAAUAGCAUACUUUGAAAGGUAAUCUUUAUUACCAUUGUUGUUGUUAAAAUCAGGAAAGCUGAGUUCUGCUGAGGGUCUCCAAACCUUGUUUAUGCCAAGGGCUGGGGCUGGAGGACAGGAAGAUUAUCUUACAUAGGAAUAGACAACAGAGGAUCCGCUGGGGUGUCUGUCCUUCCCUCCCAGUCCAGCACCUGGACCUGCUGGGCCUCCUGUUGUGGGCAGCCAGUCACAGAUGCAUGGAUCCAGGCCUGUUUUAUAUGCCAUUCCCCCUGCCCUGACUUCAGUUACACAUGUACAGACACGGCCACAAAAUAGUAAAUGGAAGAUUCAAAAGAUAA